CUCCGAGUGAAAUAGAACCAACCAUGGAGAAUCAUAAGUGAGAAAUGAAUUAUAGUGCGUAAGAGACUGUGUUUGCAGAACUUGCAUUGACAGGGAAUUUACAGUACAUACAAGGUGCAACAAACUUGUGUUUUUCUGGACAUGUCUAUGCAUUUGGCUCUGCUCUUUUAUGUCCAGCGCCGGGGCUGCUACCUGGCUUCGUGGGUCGGAAAUCGUCUGAGUUUUCUGCAAAGGAAUGGCUGACACCAGGAACGUUACGUAAAAUUGGUUCAAUAUCAUCUUUGUAUUUAUGACCAACCCCGGGGCUGCCACCUGGUGAUGUAGGUCGAAAAUCAUCCUUAUAUAUCGCAACUGAAUCACCAAAUCCAAGGCUACGAUUAGAUGUCCUGGGUGAAAAGCUUUCUUUCUUGCCUGAGGCAGGGUGGUCAAUAGUAGGAGCUUGACCUGCAUGUGGGGCUCGAAUGUCAUUUUCAUGACCUACAGAAUUUUGGUGUUGUUUGCAAGAUUAUAUUUGUUGGAACAAACUGAAGUCUAAAGCUGCCCAUGUUCCAUCCAGUGAUGGUAGAUACUGAUGGAUCUGAGCGUAGCUGUACUGUCAAACACAUGCUGUUCAGAGUGUAAGGAAGUUAGAAGAGUUGCCCUUGCAGAAGGUCAGGAUUCAAAGAUGGCACUGUGCAGGUUGAAAAUCCACCAUCGAGGACAAACAAAGAUGGUACUUUAGAGGCUGCCGAAUCAAGGGAACUCUGGAAGCAAGACGUUCGCGAUGCUUGAAGAUGCUAUUUGUCUAGCAAGGCAGGAUGAAGUAGAGAACAUGGCGAGUGUGACACAAUGUGAAGACAAGACAAUGUGGCAGAGGAUGAUGACACGCAACAGUUUUGAAGACGUUGAGAUGUAUGUACCAUGUGACAGUCCCAUAUCAAAAGGGUAAUAUGGUUCUGAGAUACAUCUGUGUUUCUUCUCUAAUAGCCUGGUGAAAUUAGGCUGCAGGAUCUACCUACCACUGCUUUAGAGAGCAAAAACCCUGGCUUGCUGGACGGCUAAACCGCUCCACCAGGUCACACUGUAUUCAGAGACCUCUCGGGAUUUCUCAGCUCCAGAUUUCUCAGCUCCUAAGUGCAGUAGCGGUAAUGGGCACGAGGAAGGCAACUCCUAUCGUGUAAUGUUUUGAUUUGAUAUUUUUUUGGUGUUGGGUCAUUUAACCCAAAUUAUUAUUAUUCACACUCCGACUUUAUUAAAGUGAUUUUUUGAGGUUGGAGGCGUGAGACAGUUAGUCCAUGACUCUUGUAAACUUGAACUGCACAUUUGUUUAUUUCAUUCUGGUGGAAGAAAAAUCCUCUUUAUGGUCUCA